rnacentral:lncRNA from 1 species
CGAGAAUGGAGAGGCCGUAACUAUGAUUCUAUGACGUCACACUAGUAGAUGAAACUCGGCCGCGGUUUAACACGCGUUCUUAUGGGAGAACGCUUGCCGCGCGAUGAUUUCUCGCCGAUAUCUUUUUCAGGGUUGAUCUGACGCAAAAUUUCAUAAGAACCUUUCUGAAAGAGGAUGAAAUUUCACUUUAGAAAACUAACUAACCCAUUUGUGACAUUGUCUAAAAAUCGAGGAAAUGAAAGCGUAAUGCCGAAAAUCGUUACUCCACUCAGAUUCAAACGGGCCGCUCGCGCAACUUCGGCGGAUCUCGCGCAACUUCGGCCGAUCGAGGGCCACUCUGAUUGGUCCACGCAGCGACUGCCUCACUCAUCGAUGCACCGAUGACCCGGAGAUGCUUGUUGUUUUCGGUAAAUAUCUACUAGCUUGACGUCACACAACUGACUAGUUACGGCCUCUCCAUUCUCGUAGGCAACGGGUGGUCCUCGGAGAACUUUUUUCCUUUGGAAAGGUAUUUUUGAUAGUGCACUAACAGCACUUUAACAAAACUCCAUAUAUGAACCGGGGGAAGUUCAGAUCGAAUCGAAGCCGAAACAGUUUUAGUUCUCCUAACACUAGUUUCAACUCUAGUCGUAAUAGCAGUUUUAGUAGUAUGAAUAGCAGUUUCAACAGCUCCCAGAACUACACCCCAUCUUCACAGAACUAUGACUCCGAAGACUGGGAAGACUCAGAAUCUUAUCGAUCCAUGUUUGGGAACCCCUGGGCCUCCUUGGAAAAUGAACUAAAACAAAAGUAUGGAGAUAGAUUGGAACCGUUACCUGAUAUUGCAGUCCACCGAAAAGAAGAAACCUAAAAAAUGGAUGCUACUCCAGAUGACCAUAGGUUAAAUUGCCGAAGGUCAACUUCCAUCACAUCAUCUCUCGUGUAUGGAGACCAACUAUUUCUUCCUUAUUUUAAGGUGGAAUAAGUUCUUGUUUCUUUUUUCCAUACUAAGCCAAUUUUUAAUGCUCAAGUUCUACUUUUUACACUGUCAUUCAAUCACUAAGUUUCCUGACCCAACCCACCAUUUGAGUAUAGGUAUCAAUUUGGCCUCUUUGAACCCUCCUAAGGUAGUUCUUGUGACUUUAUUUUAUUUAUUCACUUGAGCAAUUCAUUUUAUCUCAGAAUUAUUUCCAAGGUAAUGUUGGUUUGGUACCUUUUUUGCUGAUUUAAAAUUAAAUUAAUUUGUUUCAAAUUUAAUUUUGUUUUUUUAUUUAUCAUUAUAUAUUUAAAUCUUUCCAUUUCG